CACGUAGGCACCAAGCGUUGUCCGGAUUUAUUGGGCGUAAAGAGCUCGUAGGCGGUUCGGUAAGUCGGGUGUGAAAACUCUGGGCUCAACCCAGAGCCGCCACCCGAUACUGCUGUGACUCGAGUGCGUUCGGGGCAGAGGGAAUUCCGUGGUGUAGGCGGUGAAAUGCGUAGAUAAUCGGGGAGGAACACCUGAGGCGAAGGGCGG
rnacentral:rRNA from 1 species